rnacentral:rRNA from 1 species
UACGAAGGGUGCAAGCGUUACUCGGAAUUACUGGGCGUAAAGCGUGCGUAGGUGGUGAGUUAAGUCUGUCGUGAAAGCCCCGGGCUCAACCUGGGAAUGGCGAUGGAUACUGGCUCGCUAGAGUGCGGUAGAGGAGAGUGGAAUUCCCGGUGUAGCAGUGAAAUGCGUAGAGAUCGGGAGGAACACCAAUGGCGAAGGCAGUGUCCUGGGAAGUACCUGACGCUCAGGUGCGAAAGCUAGGGGAGCGAACGAGGAUUA